rnacentral:rRNA from 1 species
AGACGGAGGGGGCUAGCGUUGUUCGGAAUUACUGGGCGUAAAGGGCGCGUAGGCGGCUUGUCAAGUUGGAGGUGAAAGCCCGGGGCUCAACCCCGGAACUGCCUUCAAGACUGGCAGGCUAGAGUUCGGGAGAGGAGAGUGGAAUUCCCAGUGUAGAGGUGAAAUUCGUAGAUAUUGGGAGGAACACCGGUUGCGAAGGCGGCUCUCUGGUCCGAUACUGACGCUGAGGCGCGAAAGCGUGGGGAGCAAACAGGAUUAGAAACCCUAGUAGUCC